rnacentral:lncRNA from 1 species
CCCGGCCUGUUUCGGAAACUGCUUCCUGACGGCGUGUGAGUGGGCUUGGGAGCGCCAGCGUUGAUUCAGAGGGUUUAUCGGUGUUGACCGGGCCUAGGUCAAAGAGAUAUCAUGUGGGUCAACAGUCAUUUGUGGCUAUUAAAGAUGAUGGUAACAGAAAAGAAUAUACAAGGCAGGCAAUCCCCAAACUCGCAACUUCAAGAUGUCGUCACAGUACAGGCAACCAAAGAAAAUGGACAAAUGGGAUCAUAUUAAGCUAAAAAGCUUCUGCACAGCAAAGGAAACAAACUGAAGAGACAACCCACAGAAUGGGAACUAUCCAUCUGACAAGGGAUUAAUAACCAGAAUAUAUGAGGAGCUCCAACAACUCUAUAGGAAAAAAAAAUCUAAUAGUCCGAGUAAUAAAUGGGCAAAAGAUUUGAAUAGACAUUUCUCAAAAGAAGACAUACAAAUAGCAAACAGGUAUAUGAAAAGGUGCUCAGGCAAUAAAUACUGGCGAGGUUGUGGAAAAAAAAAGGAACCCUUGUGUUUGUGGGAAUGUAAAAAGUAUAACCACUAUGGAGAACAGUAUGGAAGUUCCUCAUAAAACUAAAAAUAGAGAUACCGUAUGACCUAGCAAUCUCACUGCUAGGUAUAUAUGCCCAAAAAAGGAAAUCAGUGUAUCAAAGAGAUACCUGCACUCCUAUGUUUAUUGCAGCACUACUCACAAUAGCCAAGGUUUGGAAGCAACCUAAGUGUCCAUCAACAGAUGAAUGGAUAAAUCGUUACAUAUACCCAUGGAGUACUAUUCAGCCAUAACAAAGAAUGAGAUCCUGGCAUUUGCAACAACAUAGAUGGAACUAGAGGUCAUUAUGUUAAGUGAAAUAAGCCAGGCACAGAAAGACAAAUUUCACAUGUUCUCACUUAUU